ACCUGGCUGGCUCAGUCAGUAGAGCAUGCAACUGUUGAUCUUGGGGUUGUGAGUUUGAGUCCCAUGUUGGGUA
rfam:Felis catus isolate Cinnamon breed Abyssinian chromosome D1, whole genome shotgun sequence.